ACAAAAACCUUGUUAAUACAACGUCAGUGUAAUUAUUUACUGUGUGGACAGUUUUUUUCUUGUUGCAGUAAUGGAAAUAUUACAGUAUGGGAUUCUACUGAUGAUUAUUUCAUAUGUUAGUGGUCAGUCAUUGACAUCGUCUGUAUCUGUGAUGAAGAAACCUGGAGAAUCAGUCACUCUGUCCUGUACUGUGUCUGGAUUCACUUUGAGCAGCUACUACAUGCACUGGAUCCGUCAGAAACCACAGAGAGGACUGGAAUGGAUCGGACGAAUUGAUGGUGGCACUAGCACUAUUUUUGCUCAGUCUCUUCAGGGUCAAUUCUCCAUAACUAAAGACACCAGCAAAAACAUACUGUACUUGCAGAUUAAAGGCCUGAGGGCUGAGGACACGGCUGUGUACUAUUGUGCAAGAGACUCACAUAUGCAGAGGCUCAAAGAGGGCGUCCUGAAGGGCUUUCAGCACAGGUCCUAA